rnacentral:rRNA from 1 species
GCCGAACGCUGGCGGCGUGCCUAAUACAUGCAAGUCGAACGCAGUGGGGCCGGGUGAGUAACACGUGGGUAACCUCCCAUCAGAGGGGAUAACACUUGGAAACAGGUGCUAAACCGAUCCUGAUGGAUGGACCCGCGGUGCAUUAGCUAGUUGGUGAGGUCAGGGCGCACCAAGGCAACGAUGCAUAGCCGACCUGAGAGGGGGAUCGGCCAUACUGGGACUGAGACACGGCCCAGACGCCAACGGGAGGCAGCAGUAGGGAAUCUUAGGCAAUGGACGAAAGUCUGACCGAGCAACGCCGCGUGAGUGAAGAAGGUUUUCGGAUCGUAAAACUCUGUUGUUAGAGAAGCGGUAUCUAACCAGAAAGCAACGGCUAACUACGUGCCAGCAGCCGCGGUAAUAC